AGGUGUGGUGGGGAAAAAACUUGGGGUUUCCAGAGGCCACGCAAGGAAAGUUGGCAAGAGGGGCACCCAAAGCCAAGCCGAGUAUUAUCCAUGCCAAUCCAACACCUCAACAGAAAGGAGUUGUUGAAAGAAAGAACAGGACAGUACAAGAAAUGGCUCAACAAGGUUUAACGAAAUGCACAAAGAGCCGUAAUGAAAAUGACCACACAACACAAAAUGCCAAUCUGACAAAACCGAAGGGCCUGCGACAUGACUCAUGUGAAGCAGAAUUCACCAAGUGUUGGAUUGUUCACCCACCAAUAGGGAACAUGAGCUAGUUUUAGACCAUCAUGAGAUAGGUUAGUUUUACCCUACUAAUGAACCACGCCGCAAUAGUAAUUCAACUUAGUACGAGAGGAACCAUUGAUUCACACAAUUGGUCAUCGCGCUUGGUUGAAAAUCCAAUGGCGUGAUGAUACCAUGUGUCGGAUUAUGACUAAACGCCUCUAAGUUAGAAUCCACACUAGAAGUGAUGCUUGUCACUCCUCGACUAUAUCUUGACCUGCAGUAGGGGUGUCGCUUCAACACCCCUAGGGGCCCAUGUCACUUGCGAACCUCAGCCAGGAAGCGUCUAGGUCGAGGCAGCUUUGAAGUUCAAUUUCAAGUGGUCAUUGAGAAGAAUCCUUUGUAGACGACUUAAAUACGUGACAUGGUAUUGUAAGUGGCAGAGUGGCCUUGCUGCCAUGAUCCACUAAGAUUCAUCCCUUCGUUGCCUCGAUUC
rnacentral:ncRNA from 1 species